ensembl:lncRNA
UUUUUUCCUUCCCUUAGCUGAGAAUCUGAGAAAAAGCCCAAUCUCAGCCCAUUCCCUUACCCCUUCCUGCUAACCAAACUUCCCGUAGUCAAAACUAAAUGGAGGUGUUCCCACUGUGGCACAGCAGAAACGAAUCCGACCAGGAACCAUGCAUGAGGUUGCGGUCGGAUUCGUUAACCACUGCGCCACGACGGGAACUCCCAUGUAUACAUUCUUUUUUCACACAUUAUCAUGUUCCAUCAUCAGUGAUGAGACAUAGUGAUUAGACAGUGCUGCACAGCAGGACCUCCUGUAUUAUUUCUUUAUAACCUGAGUCCCAUCGCCAAACCAAGACUGUCAUUCAGGGCACCGUAUUUAGUGAAAAGGUUCUCCAUAAACACUUGCGGAACCGCAUCUGGCAACUCCCCAGGCCUCCUGCCUUGCACCUUGUUCCUCGCAGUACCCCCCACACAGGAUAACACCCCUGCCCUCAGACAGAAGCAACUGCCUCUUGUAUGACCUAUCCUUUAUGCGCUCGACUCAAACGGAAUAUACAGAAGAGACAGCUUGCUGUUUGUGUGUUUGGUUGUGGUUUUUUCUUUUUGUUUUUUAAGACAUAUAUUUAUUUGCUUUCUUAACUGUACACACCAAAAGAAAGCCAUGAAUGUAUGUGUGUGUGUAUGUGUAUGUGUGUGUGUGUGUAUAUAUACUUGAAACAAGUGUGUGCACAUUUCAGAUGCUUUCCUGAAGAGAGCCACAACUCUGUUUGGUUUAUAUGCAUCUGGCAUACAUGUUCACACAGCGGGGUGUGAUGUUUUUCUUUUUUAGGUUAGCUGGUGCCUUUAUUUUUCUCAAAGCUGCUUUUUUGUAUAAUAAUAGAUUCUGGAGCUUUUCAAAUGUCAGUACAUAUGUGUGUGUGUGUACACAUAUACAUAUAUGUAUUUACCUGCUUUGGGGGAACUGCUACAUAUAGGAUGUUCUAGGAAUCCAAGUACCGCAAUUUAUUCAACUAAUUAUCUGUUUAUGCAUUUCACUUUUAUUAAUAAUUCUGUGGUACACAGUCUUCUACUUACUAUGUCCACAUCUGAAGAGUUCUCUAAGGUAGACCUUUUGUCUUUUCUAACCACAAAUGCAUUCUGCUCAAAUCCUAUUAUUCUGCACACCUCAGAAACAAACACACUAAGUAAACUGAGUUGGCUCUCUCAGCUCUUCAUUACUAGGACAACACUUUCUCAGCAUCCUGCUGCUCAGAUUGUAGAGAAACAGCCAUGCGCCCAAGUAAGAUGUUCUGGGACACCAAAUAAAUGAUGGCUGAUGAUACUGAAAGCUCACGAACGCCAAGGUCUCCGGAUGACUUACCCAAGAUCACUUUCAAGACCGCUCCUGCAGGCUGAGGUCCACACUUUCUCUCUUGCUCCUCAUCUGUAGCAGCACUACUUUUGAAGCCUCAAAAUAAACUCAUCCAUUGUGCUCCAGAAUGCUGCAGUAACACAAAACAAAACACCAAGUCAGAGUGAAAAAUAAAUGCCACUUCAAGCAGUAAGUUGAUAUUCAGGGGGAAAUCCCUGGCUUUUCUCAGAUGUAUAUUUUAUAACCUCAAACAAGUAUGUUAAUUACCAGAAUGCAGCUAUCACACGACUGAUCUCCAUAUGGUGCCCUAAAAUACUGGAGAUGGGGGGCGGGGGGAGAAAGACAACAAAGUACCUGCUAGGCUAGGUGCUGCAUCUUGAUAUGAUGAUACCUACUGCUGGGAAUGUGCUCGUAAAACUCCAAGUUUACCCACCGAAAUAAAUACAGAAAGAAGGAUUCAUCACAUUGAAAUAGAGCUACUGGUGCGCCAUUCUCUUACGCUCAACUCCCUUGUUUAAACAGUAGACGCUUGGAUAAAGGGCAGAAAGUGGGAAAAGUUUUGUUUCAAAUUACAAUUCAUCUGAUCCCGCCUGUUAAAGUCUCAGACGAUAUUAAAGGAGGCGAUAUUAAACAAAGGGCUAGUCAGACCGAUCCGAAAAGGUGAGAGAGAGAGGAAAUUUUCCAUUUUGCACU